rnacentral:rRNA from 1 species
UACAGAGGUCUCAAGCGUUGUUCGGAUUCAUUGGGCGUAAAGGGUGCGUAGGCGGCGCGGUAAGUCGGAUGUGAAAUCUCGGAGCUUAACUUCGAAACUGCAUUCGAUACUGCUUUGCUCGAGGACUGGAGAGGAGAUUGGAAUUCACGGUGUAGCAGUGAAAUGCGUAGAUAUCGUGAGGAAGACCAGUGGCGAAGGCGGAUCUCUGGACAGUUCCUGACACUGAGACACGAAGGCCAGGGGAGGCAAACGGG